UUGGUUUGCUUGUUUGUCUGGUUUUGGUUUUAUGUUUUAAUCUUCCGCUGCUGAACUGGAAAGUUAGCUCUGGGUAACUUGAGGUUCAACUCCACACUGACUGUUUUCUCCACCUUGGCAAUCUGAAACUUUGCAGGGCUUUAAUUCCCCCCAUCACUGGGAGAUUCUUGGAGUCACUGUUGAAGAAGGGUGGUAUGGAAGAUGUUGUGAAUCCAAAUUUUUGAAUGAAGAUCAUCAGGUGUCUAGGGCAGGAGGUAAAGGAUUCUGUGGAAGGAAGGGCAGACACAGGGAGUCUGAUAGCCCCGAGCAGAAGGACCUUCAGCAGUGCCUCACUGACUGUACUGGUCAUCUGGUGUGAGGGAAAAGAUGCAUAUAGCAGAGAGUAGAAGAAAGGAGAGGUGGAACAGCCCAAAAUGGAAGAAGGGGAACAAGAUAAUGAAGAAAACUCACCAGGCUCCUAAAGCCAUAGGCCAGAAAAGAUGCUGCUCACGUCUGUCUGUGUGUUCUGGUCCCGUGAUUACAUCUUGCUUCAACACGAGCUGAGCCAAGUCUCCAGA